AUCCUGGGGCUGUAGCCGGUCCCAAGGGUAUGGCUGUUCGCCAUUUAAAGUGGUACGUGAGCUGGGUUCAAAACGUCGUGAGACAGUUUGGUCCCUAUCUGCAGUGGGCGUUGGAAGUUUGAGGGGGGCUGCUCCUAGUACGAGAGGACCGGAGUGGACGCACCUCUGGUGUACCGGUUGUCACGCCAGUGGCAUCGCCGGGUAGCUACGUGCGGAAGAGAUAACCGCUGAAAGCAUCUAAGCGGGAAACUCGCCUCAAGAUGAGACUUCCCGGGGACUUGAUCCCCCUGAAGGGUCGCGGAAGACCACCGCGUUGAUAGGCCGGAUGUGUAAGAGGAGUAAUCCUUUGAGCUAACCGGUACUAAUUGCCCGUGCGGCUUGAUCCUAUAACC
rnacentral:rRNA from 1 species